rnacentral:misc_RNA from 1 species
GAGGGCUGUCGCUGACUUUUCGUCGGUGCACGCCCAAGUGCUCUCAACCAUCCAUCUCACCCUAUGUGCACCACCGCGUGGGUUCCCUUUUGGCUCCUCCCGAAGGGGGCUCCCGUUUUCCCACAACCUCMAUACSGUGGAAAAAGGCUCUUUGGCAUAACACCCCAUUAAUACAACUUUCAACAACGGAUCUCUUGGCUCUCGCAUCMAURAAGAACGCACCGAAAUGGCAAUACGUAUGGGAAUUGCAGAAUUCAGUGGAUCCUCCAAUCUUUGAACCCCCCUUGGCCCCCUUGGCAUUCCGAAGGGCACACCCGUUUGGAUGGCCGGGAAUUCCCAAAAACCUUUCCUUUAAUAAAGGGUUUUGGAAUUGGAAGCUUUUUGGUGGCUUCCCUCCAAACGAGSUUCUCCUAAUGAAUUAAUGGGUCUGGCUUUGCCAUCCUGAACGUGAUAAGAUGUUACUACGCUCGGGUUCGGGAAUGGCCCC